CUAAAUUCUGUCUGUGUGUGUGUGUGUGUGUGUGUGUUUAGUUGGAGUUGGCUCACAGUGGGAAGUUUAAUUCUCAGAUCCAUGUUGAGUACAUGUGGGAGAUGCCGCAGGAGUUCAUGUACGACAGCGAGGAUGACCUCGAUGACAGGGUCGCCCCAGCCAGGAACCGUUCUUUGCUCCCCUCUAAUGGUUGCAGUGGGAACUCCUCGUGGAUUUGUAGCACCAGCACAGCUAACAGAGCCUACCAGAACGUGGACUUCCUCUGCUGCAAUCCGCCAGCCAACAGCGCCCCCUCUGGUGGGUCCAUGCCCCCUCCUCUACCCGCCAAGUCCAUUCAGAGAGGACGCUCGGACCCCCAGCUGUGUGUUUCCACGCAGGACUCCCACAUCUCGUCCAGACACAGUUCCAGCUCCUCGGGGGGCGGGUCGUUUAAGAACAGCCCCCCCCCGCCCCUGCGGGAGGCGGCAGAACGGUCGCCGCGCUCCCCGCUGGGCGCUGUGCUGAAGAGACAGACCGUGUCCUGGGACGGACCGUCGUCCUUUUCCACGCAGAGCGCCAAAGGCCCCGUGCCUUCGGAGAAGACGACGUCGUACAGGAGAGCGAGCGGUAGCGGAGGUCAGGGGAAGUGUAGCGCGGGGUCUCCCGGCUCAGGGAGCAGCACCGAGGAACUGUACUGCAGCCUGAGCAGCGCUAACGCUAGCGCGCCUGUUCCUCUCAUACUGCCGCCGCCCCGCUCACGCAAGAACGCCAUGUGUGUGUCUCAGAACGCACUGAGGCCUCGGCAACGGAAGGUUCGGGCCCUGGUGGAUUGCAUGGGCGUGAGCUCAGACCAGCUGGCCUUCUGUAAGGAUGACAUCAUUGUUGUGACCACUGCUGAAGACCCCCACUGGUGGGUUGGGUAUGUAGAGGGAAAACCAUCCAGGAGUGGGUCCUUCCCAGUCAACUAUGUCCAGAAGUUAUGUCCAGGAGAAUGACUCACCUAAAAGCCCCACCUCUUUUAUCCAAACCAGCUGCUCAUCCCUGUCACCAGGGGUCACGCCACUCAUGCACUACGGGCUAUAGGCCCUGCAGAAGGUCUGGGACUACUCACUGGUCAUACUGGGACCAGUGCACAAGGCGCCUCUGUCUCACGACUGGGUGGGGAUGAUGUCUCUGUCCUGAGCCACUGCCUGGGAGUUAGGACGAACGUUGAGUCCAACAUGAAUAUAAACCCAAACAGGUAAUGGACACCGUGGGCCCUGAAAGGGCGAGACGGUAACGUGAGCUCUAAAGGACAAAUGAGUGGGCGUAGCCGUCCAGCUGGACAGACACCGGAUGCUUCCCUGCUGGCUGCAGGUCGAUUGCUAAAUGGACAUUGGCUCGCAAGUCACUGUGGGUGCAGUCCAGGCGUCGGCCACAAUGAAACACUACACCUGAGAACUCCAGCCAGAACCCAGCUCGACCACUCCGACUGUGUGUGUGUGUGUGUGUGUGUGUGUGUGUGUGUGUGUGUGUGUGUGUGUGUGUGUGUGUGUGUGUGUGUGUAAGGGAGACAGGAGAAACUGAAGAACUUCUGUUUGCCUAACGAGGGCUCGGGAAUUAUUUCAAAUUUUACGUCUCAAAUCUCUAAACCCCAGUCACAUCACAUAAUUCAUGAGCUGCCAAAGCACAUCUGAAACAUUUAUGAACUGUAUUGUUUAUUUUUGCUUUGUUUUUUUUUGAAGCAACCAAAGGGAACAGGAACCAUCUUUGGUCAGGUGAUCAUCUUAUUUGGCUGUUAUGCUUGUUAGUUCAAGGUCCGCAAAUGCGAGAGCACGUGAUGUUUUGAUUUGGGAUAAAUAGACCUGAUGCAUUAACUAGUAGAGAAGGACCAUUGUACUCCAUCAGACGUGACUGAGGCUCAGAAUGGGCCUGUCUUGAUUCCCACAGAAGCAGGAUCUGUUUAAAGUACAGUACGAACCCUGAGAGAGUGAACUGGUGCAACUUUAAGAGGGUGUGUGUGUGUGUGUACACGGGGACUUGAACCCUUGUUUCAAAACUUUAUUGUACAGAACAUAUGCAGAUAUUAGAUAUAUUUGAGGUUGUAUGAACACAAGUGCAGUUUCAGAUGUAUGCAUGUGUGCUAUCUGGAACCUGUUUCAGAUGCGUGUGCGUGUUGUCUGGAGCCUGUUUCAGAAGUGUGUGCGUGUGGGUGUUGUCUGGAGCCCCUCCCCCCCGGCUUUGUUAGUAGGAUGUGUUCAAGCUCCUCUGGCACCAAUAUGCAUUAUUGAUGAGUGGAGAGUUCAGAUGUCUGCACCUGCCCUCUUAAUGACUUCUGUGAAGCAACUUGGAGCAUACAAUUGAGUACGGUGGCCCCCAAGGUCCAAAACAAUCGGCUGAUAUUUUCAAAGCUUGUGUAUGAAAUGCUGCUUGUAGUUCUGUAAACCUAUGUAGCAGUAAUGUAGAAAUCAGUUGUGAUUUUGAUCAUUUUGUAUCUUAUUGAUGCUGUCCUUCUCUCAAAGUAUAUUCAGCCUUAGAAAGUAAAAUGAUUUAAGCUACAUGAGCGUAAGUACAUAUUACUGUUUUCUGUGAAUAAAAAGACUGUUUUGAUGGUUUAAACUAACAUGUGUACUUCAGAGAACCUUACACACACACACACACACACAAAAGCCAAAUCCCUGGAUCGCAUCAGCUGUGUUUGUGGGAGCAGGACAGCACGCAGCCCCGUCUGGUAGAGCCGCUGUGGCCGAACGAUCAGGUUCGUGUGUGUGUUAAAGAAACGCAUUGAUGUGCCACUGUGUGUGAAAUGUCCUAUCCAAAUAUCAUGUGUUUGAUCAGGGCUAGUUCAUGAGACCUGGACCAGAACACGUUUAAAAUGAUGUUGCAUUGAUUUUUGUCUGUAAUCUUUCGGGAAUUUUUCAGAUAUUGAUAGUGCGGUCUAUUUGCAAUGUCACCAAUGGAACGGCAGUGAAUUCAAAAGAAAAGAGCGUGUCCAGGAGCACUUAAAUCACUGAGUUUAUUGUUUAAGUUUAUUCCAUCAUGUGUCCAUUUCUACCAGAACAUUUUCAGUCUGUAUCUUCCAGUCAGAUUUAUGGACAUUCGUUUUCAUAAUGUGGAUAAUAGUGAAACAGUAAAUGACUCCUACAUUGAUGGCUCUACCAUUCCUGGCACCGAUCCUGUAUUCCUCUUUUCCGAAGCUUCUAACAAGACUUCCAUCGUGACAUGAUGGGAUAUUUAUCGAACGUGCAGGAAGUAUGGGGUUGAUGGGAACUGGAGUCUAUUUGAUCUGAUUAUUCUAAAUGUGGCAUGGUUGAAUUGCAGAAGCUCCUGGUUUAUAAUAUUAUGUAAUGUUAAUGGAAACGUGUGUGUGUGUGUGUGUGUGUGUGUGUGUGUGU
ensembl:lncRNA